ensembl:misc_RNA
AGAAUAUCAGAGAAGAAAUUAUAAGGAGGACUAGAGAAUAGGAAAGAUAUAAACUGACACCCCAAGGUGAGAAAAGACAUAUAAAGAAAAGACAAAUGCGCAUGAAAAAAAUAGACUGAUGGGUUAACAUCUCCAUUGUGUGGCAUUUUCUU